rnacentral:lncRNA from 10 species
UCUACUUGGAAAGGAUUGGGAAAGGUUCCCAAGAAAAGUCACCCAUAGACUCCACUCUGUCCUACUUGACCUAAUCUCUCAACUGAGACACAAACUCACAACUGAGUUGAGGGGAGUGGGCAGGGAGGAUGACAACAGAAGACUUCUAUGAUCCAGUCUGCACUUUGGUGAGUCAGUCUUCCAACAGUGUGGAGGACAGGCUGGAGCAGAACAAGUCCAGAGGAUUCAUUAGGAAACUUUGUACUAAAUCAUGCAAGACAGUCCGAGAGCCCGGAUUAUAUCUGUGGCAGUGGGGCUGAAGAGAAGAGAAACAUUCUAGAAGAAUAAUGGAGGAUUGAGAGAACAUGUUAAUGGAUUGCAAACGAGGGUUGCAGGAGAGAGAAGAGUUUAAAGAUGUGUCUGGAUGAAAUGACUGGGUCAUGGUGAUGCCAUUUAGGGAGAUGGGGAUACAGGAGGAAGAAAAGGCUUUACAGGAAGGAGGGUGACCUCCUAUAUGAAUGAGUUGAGGUGCUCUUGGGACAUUCAUAUAAGGACUGUGACCACAGCAUGACAGAAAUUAGAAAAGGUGAAGGACAAUGUGGCCAAAGAGUUUGGAAUUCAAAGGAAUGAGAGUUGAGCAAACAGUGAGGACUCAGGGCGGUCAGUCAAGAGAAGAUGGAUGUAAUUUGAAGGGGAACAAGAAGAACCUGGAACCUACCAACACAAUCUGGAGUUCAUGAGGACAGACUUGUUGUAGGACUUUCUCCUUAGCUCAGCUAAAAACGGGGUCCUUGUCAUAUGGCCAGGAGAGAUUAGGCUC